rnacentral:rRNA from 1 species
AUGCAUAGGAAUCUACCUAGUAGUAUGGGAUAGCCACUAGAAAUGGUGGGUAAUACUGUAUAAUCCCUGCGGGGGAAAGAUUUAUCGCUAUUAGAUGAGCCUAUGUUAGAUUAGCUAGUUGGUAGGGUAAAGGCCUACCAAGGCAAUGAUCUAUAGCUGGUCUGAGAGGAUGAUCAGCCACACUGGAACUGAGAUACGGUCCAGACUCCUACGGGAGGCAGCAGUGGGGAAUAUUGGACAAUGGGCGCAAGCCUGAUCCAGCUAUGCCGCGUGAGUGAGGAAGGCCUUAGGGUUGUAAAACUCUUUCAGUAGGGAAGAUAAUGACGGUACCUA